GACGAACGCUGGCGGCGUGCCUAAUACAUGCAAGUCGAACGCUUCUUUCCUCCCGAGUGCUUGCACUCAAUUGGAAAGAGGAGUGGCGGACGGGUGAGUAACACGUGGGUAACCUACCCAUCAGAGGGGGAUAACACUUGGAAACAGGUGCUAAUACCGCAUAACAGUUUAUGCCGCAUGGCAUAAGAGUGAAAGGCGCUUUCGGGUGUCGUUGAUGGUUGGACCCGCGGUGCAUUAGCUAGUUGGUGAGGUAACGGCUCACCAAGGCCACGAUGCAUAGCCGGCCUGAGAGGAUGAUCGGCCACACUGGAACUGAGACACGGCCCAGACUCCUACGGGAGGCAGCAGUAGGGAAUCUUCGGCAAUGGACGCAAGUCUGACCGAGCAACGCCGCGUGAGUGAAGAAGGUUUUCGGAUCGUAAAACUCUGUUGUUAGGGAAGAACAGGGACGUUAGUAACUGAACGUGCCCUGACGGUAUCUAAACAGAAAGCCACGGCUAACUACGUG
rnacentral:rRNA from 1 species